GAUGAACGCUGGCGGCGUGCCUAAUACAUGCAAGUCGAGCGAACGGACGAGAGGCUUGCUUCUCUGAUGUUAGCGGCGGACGGGUGAGUAACACGUGGAUAACCUACCUAUAAGACUGGGAUAACUUCGGGAAACCGGAGCUAAUACCGGAUAAUAUUUUGAACCGCAUGGUUCAAAAGUGAAAGACGGUCUUGCUGUCACUUAUAGAUGGAUCCGCGCUGCAUUAGCUAGUUGGUAAGGUAACGGCUUACCAAGGCAACGAUGCAUAGCCGACCUGAGAGGGUGAUCGGCCACACUGGAACUGAGACACGGUCCAGACUCCUACGGGAGGCAGCAGUAGGGAAUCUUCCGCAAUGGGCGAAAGCCUGACGGAGCAACGCCGCGUGAGUGAUGAAGGUCUUCGGAUCGUAAAACUCUGUUAUUAGGGAAGAACAUAUGUGUAAGUAACUGUGCACAUCUUGACGGUACCUAAUCAGAAAGCCACGGCUAGCUACGUG
rnacentral:rRNA from 1 species